rnacentral:lncRNA from 1 species
AUGUACAGAGAGUGUUCAGACCAAGGACUGAGAGAGGCUGUGUCACAGGAUUAAGCCAGCUAUGCAAACUUGCACAGGACAGGUUCUGAGCUACAGCAGGUCAGUGGUGUCCAGUCCAAGUGAAGAUUGCUUCAAACUAUCAGCCCCCACUGGUCCGUGUAGGAACUCCACACGUUUUUGUUUAUUUUACCAGAUUCCACACUCUACAGAAGCUUUCCUGCAGAGCUGACAUCAGGAAUGAACCAAGCCUUCUCCAGAGUGUAGCAGUUUAUAUUUGUAGGGCAGAGGUGGCAUUUAAUCAGGGAAGAAAGAAACCACUCUCAGCCUACUAAGCUGUGGUGCUGCCCUGCAGAAAUCUCUCACGUCUCCCAUGUACCAGGCAACAGCAAAUGAGCCCAUGUUCUUCCUGCUCAGAUGACCAGCUGGGUAACAGUUAAUCCUGACAUUUUAAACAGAACUGACAAUUCAACAAUAGUUGCUACAGCUGUGAGGGAGUUCAUUACGCCAAGGGACCGCAUCUACAAUGCACAAUGGAAGUGAAUCUAGGGAGGGUUUGAAUAAAAAGGAGCUGAGCUGUUGGAGGGGAAAUGUG